UCCAGACUCCUACGGGAGGCAGCAGUGGGGGAUAUUGCACAAUGGGGGGAACCCUGAUGCAGCGACGCCGCGUGGGUGAAGGAGUGCUUCGGCAUGUAAAGCCCUAUCGGCAGGGAAGAAGCAAGACGGUACCUGACUAAGAAGCCCCGGCUAACUAUGUGCCAGCAGCCGCGGUAAUACAUAGGGGGCAAGCGUUAUCCGGAAUUAUUGGGUGUAAAGGGUGCGUAGACGGAGAAACAAGUUGGUUGUAAAAUCCCUCGGCUCAACCGAGGAACUGCAACCAAAACUAUUUCCCUUGAGUGUCGGAGAGGAAAGUGGAAUUCCUAGUGUAGCGGCGAAAUGCGUAGAUAUUAGGAGGAACACCAGUGGCGAAGGCGACUUUCUGGACGAUAACUGACGUUGAGGCACGAAAGUGUGGGGAGCAAACAGGAUUAGAUACCCUAGUAUA
rnacentral:rRNA from 1 species